AAACCGUUCAGGGGUAAACCUGUGAAACCCAAAAGAUCGAAUGAGGAGAUUCAUCGUCAGCAUUCGUAGUAUUAAUGCAAAUUAUGAUGUGAUUAUACAAUCCUUGUGGUUAUUAUUAUUACACUUGUUUGUAUUAUUUUCACUAUUUAUGUCGGCGUGCACUUCUCCUCUAGUAGAACGUUGCGACCUGUUAAAUGUUUGUCUAUGAGUCAUGUGGUAGACUUACAUAUUUUUAAUACGUAAGACCUGUGGUUAUCUGACAAACUGUUUGACAGUAUACAUAUGGUAUUGAGCCGCAAUAUUAUUUGCGUUAAAUCUUGAUACAAGUCAGAUUAUUUUCAAAUAGUACGGAUUAAUGCCGUCGUUUGAAAUAAUCAACUGUUGGUGUCAAGAUCUUUAACUGGCUUAUUUACCAGUCAGCGAUGCUACUGCUUUGGGUACUUUACAGGA
rnacentral:rRNA from 1 species